rnacentral:rRNA from 1 species
UACCAGCACCCCGAGUGGUCGGGACGUUUAUUGGGCUUAAAGCAUCCGUAGCCGGUUCUACAAGUCUUCCGUUAAAUCCACCUGCUUAACAGAUGGGCUGCGGAAGAUACUAUAGAGCUAGGAGGCGGGAGAGGCAAGCGGUACUCGAUGGGUAGGGGUAAAAUCCGUUGAUCCAUUGAAGACCACCAGUGGCGAAGGCGGCUUGCCAGAACGCGCUCGACGGUGAGGGAUGAAAGCUGGGGGAGCAAACCGG